rnacentral:rRNA from 1 species
UACGUAGGGGGCUAGCGUUGUCCGGAAUCAUUGGGCGUAAAGCGCGUGUAGGCGGUCCGGUAAGUCCGCUGUGAAAGUCGGGGGCUCAACCCUCGGAUGCCGAUCGAUACUGUCAGGCUAGAGUCCGGAAGAGGCGAGUGGAAUUCCUGGUGUAGCGGUGAAAUGCGCAGAUAUCAGGAGGAACACCAAUGGCGAAGGCAGCUCGCUGGGACGGUACUGACGCUGAGGCGCGAAAGCGUGGGGAGCAAACAGG